UCCCCGGUAGCUCAGUUGGUAGAGCAAGUGACUGUUAAUCACUGGGUCGGCGGUUCGAGUCCGUCCCGGGGAGCCA
rnacentral:tRNA from 1 species